UUGGAACUUAAAAUCCUAUAAAUACACAUUGAUUUUAUAAGAAAUACUCCUUAAUUUUAUCAUUUAAUACUUGAUAUUUUAUAUAAUAAUUAAUAUUUUAUAUAAUUCUUAGUGAUUUGGGUAUCUGCAAAUUUGCUAUUCUUGGAUCUUCCUUUGAUCUUCAUCAAAAGCUCGGUGAGCACAUCUUGGAAUAUCCAACUCAGCUUCCCAGAGAUGUUACUUUUUUCACCUCAUAAGAGCAAUGUUUCUUUCUGGUAAGAACAUUUGGUGGGCACCAUGAAUACUCGGGUUCUCACUCAAGCAGAGUUUCUUUACUCAAAAUUCAAUGUCAUUUACAAGAGGGUGUGACCACUUAUUUAGUGUGAU
rnacentral:lncRNA from 1 species